GGCCUGCGUCAAUCCUGGGUUGGAGGAGGUGGUGGCCGGUGAGGCUGUGGCGUGAAGACAGCGGGCAUGGUGGGGCGGGAGAAAGAGCUCUCUAUACACUUUGUUCCCAGGAGCUGCCGGCUGGUGGAGGAGGAAGUUAACAUCCCUAAUGGGAGGGUUCUGGUUACUGGUGCCACUGGGCUUCUUGGCAGAGCUGUACACAAAGAAUUUCAGCAGAAUAAUUGGCAUGCUGUUGGCUGUGGUUUUAGAAGAGCAAGACCAAAAUUUGACCAGGUUAAUCUGUGGAUUCUAAUGCAGUUCAUCACAUCAUUCAUGAUUUUCAGCCCCAUGUUAUAGUGCAUUGUGCAGCAGAGAGAAGACCAGAUGUUGUAGAAAAUCAGCCAGAUGCUGCCUCUCAACUUAAUGUGGAUGCUUCUGGGAAUUUAGCAAAGGAAGCAGCUGCUGUUGGGGCAUUUCUCAUCUACAUUAGCUCAGAUUAUGUAUUUGAUGGAAAAAAUCCACCUUACAGAGAGGAAGACAUACCAGCUCCCCUAAAUUUGUAUGGCAAAACAAAAUUAGAUGGAGAAAAGGCUGUCCUGGAGAACACUUUAGGAGCUGCUGUUUUGAGGAUUCCUAUUCUGUAUGGGGAAGUUGAAAAGCUCGAAGAAUGUGCUGUGACUGUUAUGUUUGAUAAAGUGCAGUUCAGCAACAAGUCAGCAAACAUGGAUCACCAGCAGCAGAGGUUCCUCACACAUGUCAAAGAGGUGGCCACUGUGUGCCGGCAGCUAGCAGAGAAGAGAAUGCUGGAUCCAUCAAUUAAGGGAACCUUUCACUGGUCUGACAAUGAACAGACGACUAAGUAUGAAAUGGCGUGUGCAAUUGCAGAUGCCUUCAACCUCCCCAGCAGUCACUUAAGACCUAUUACUGACAGCCCUGUCCUAGGAGCACAGCGUCCAAGAAAUGCUCAGCUUGACUGCUCCAAAUUGGAGACCUUGGGCACUGGCCAACGAACACCACUUCGAAUUGGAAUUAAAGAAUCACUUUGGCCUUUCUUCAUUGACAAGAGAUGGAGACAAAUGGUCUUUCAUUAGUUUAUUUGUGUUGUUGUUAGUUUUUUUUAAUGAAAAGUAUAGCAUGUGGCACUUUUUAAAGAACAAAGGAAAUAGUUUUGUAUGAGUACUUUAAUUGUGACUCUUAGGAUCUUUCAGGAAAAAUGGAGGGCU